GCGGGGAUAGCUCAGCUGGGAGAGCGUCAGACUGAAGUUCAACUUCAAUCAUUUAAUCUGAAGGCCGUGCGUUCGAUCCGCACUCACCGCA